GGAGUCUGGACCGUGUCUCAGUUCCAAUGUGGCCGUUCAUCCUCUCAGACCGGCUACUGAUCGUCGCCUUGGUAGGCCGUUACCCCACCAACUAGCUAAUCAGACGCAGACCCAUCGCAAAGCGAUAGCUUACAAGUAGAGGCCAUCUUUAAUAUCAUCUCCAUGCGGAAACGAUACAACAUUCGGUAUUAGCAGUCCUUUCGGACUGUUGUCCCCAUCUUUGCGGCAGGUUGUCUACGCGUUACUCACCCGUUUGCCACUCGGUUCUCAAAAGCAAGCUUUCAAUCACCUCGUUCGACUUGCAUGUGUUAAGCACGCCGCCAGCGUUCGUCCUCGAGCCACUGAUCAAACUACU
rnacentral:rRNA from 1 species